CCCUCAGGAAUCCCCAAAAUUCCCCUUAUGGACCCCAAAAUUACCCAAAUUUGCCCCAAAUCCCCUCAGUGAUCCCCAAAAUUCCCCAAAUCUGCCUCAAAAUUCCCCAAAUUUGCCCAUAGUGCCCCAAAAUUGCCCAAAUUUGCCCCAAAAUCCCCUCGGGGAUCCUCAAAAUUCCCUAAAUUUGCCCCAAAUUCUCAUCAGGGGCCCCAAAUCCCCUCAGAAAUCCCCAAAUCCCCUCAGGGGUCCCCAAAAUUCUCCAAUUUUGCCCCAAAUUCCCCUCAGGGACCCCCAAAAUUCCCCAAAUUUGCCUCAAAAUUCCCCGAUUUUGCCCUAAAUGCCCCAAAAUUGCCCAGAUUUGCCUCAAAAUUCCCUUAGGGACUCCAAAAUUGCCCAAAUUUGCCCCAAAAUUCCCCUUGGGGACCCCAAAUCCCCUCAGGAAUCCCCAAAAUUGCCCAAAUUUGCCCCAAAUCCCCUCAGGGACCCCAAAUCUCUUCAGGGAUCCCCAAAAUUCCCCAAAUCUGCCCCAAAAUUGCCUAAAUAGCCCAAAAUUCCACAAAUUUGCACCAAAAUCUCCAGGAUCCCCAAAUUUCCCUCAGGAACCCCAAAUCCCCUCAGGAAUCCCCAAAUUUCCAAAAUUUGCCCCAAAAUCCCCUCAGGGACCCCAAAAUUCCCCAAACUUGCCCCAAAAUUCUUUUAGGGAUCCAAAAAUUGCCCAAAUUUGUCUCAAAAUUCCCCAAAUUCGCCCCAAAAUCUCCGAGAUUCCCAAAUUUCCCUCAGGGGUCCCCAAACCCUGCCCAGAAAUGUUCCCAGUUCAUCCCAGUUUGAUCCCAGUCCCUCCCAGUCCCUCCCAGUUCCCUCCCAGUCCCUCCCAGUCCCUCCCAGUUCCCUCCCAGUCCCUCCCAGUAAGCCCAGUCCGUUCCCAGUUUCGAUUUCCUCUGCCUGCCGCUCUUCCACCCGCGGCACCGGCGGGAGUUCGCGGCGGCGCCCGCCAGGGGGCGCCCCGGGCCGCAGACCCGCUCCGACCUCGUGCUGGCCGGCCGCGGUGAGAGCGCGUUUGUACUGGUUAUACUGGUUAUACUGGGAGGGGUUAUACUGGGGAUACUGGGAGG
rnacentral:lncRNA from 1 species